rnacentral:rRNA from 1 species
UUUUCAGCCGCCGCGGUAAUACGUAGGUGACUAGCGUUGUCCGGAUUUACUGGGCGUAAAGAGCGCGCAGGCGGUCGUGCAAGUCGAGUGUGAAAGCCCCCGGCUCAACUGGGGAGGGUCACUCGAUACUGCUCGACUUGAAGGCGGGAGAGGGAAGCGGAAUUCCCGGUGUAGUGGUGAAAUGCGUAGAUAUCGGGAGGAACACCAGUGGCGAAGGCGGCUUCCUGGCCCGUUCUUGACGCUGAGGCGCGAAAGCUAGGGGAGCAAACGGGAUUAGAUACCCUUGUAGUCC